AAAAACACCACUUCUGUGCAUUUCUCUUGUCAUGCCCAUCUCUUGUCUCAAAUCUUGUGCAUGUACUCUCUUCAAAUUCAUCUCUCUUCUUGCUAAAAACAUUUCCAACUCCUUUAAACUCAAUCUGUCUCUUUCUAGGCAUCUCCGAUUGAGCUCCUGUUCUAUCAUCAGCAGAUGGAUUUUCAGUUUAGAUAGCUGUUGCCUUACGAGUGGAGAAGAAGAAUUUGAAGUGAAAAAUAAUCAAAGAAGAUGACUUUGAAGAGUAGAGGAGCAAGUGUUGUAUCACAGAAAUGGACCCUUUUCAUUUGCUUGUGUUGCUUCUGUGCUGGAAUGCUCUUCACUGAUAGGUAAUAUUUGUCUGCUUUAUAUGUUUUUUUUUUUCAGUUGGUAAUAUCCUUCGGCUGGUAAUUUAGUUAACAGGAUUUUGAUUCAAUUCAGGCGAG
rnacentral:lncRNA from 1 species